UACGUAGGGUGCGAGCGUUACUCGGAAUUACUGGGCGUAAAGGGUGCGUAGGCGGUUUGAUAAGUCUGAUGUGAAAUCCCCGGGCUCAACCUGGGAACGGCAUUGGAGACUGUCAAGCUAGAGUGCGUCAGAGGGGGGUAGAAUUCCACGUGUAGCAGUGAAAUGCGUAGAGAUGUGGAGGAAUACCGAUGGCGAAGGCAGCCUCCUGGGCCAAUACUGACGCUCAUGCACGAAAGCGUGGGGAGCAAACAGG
rnacentral:rRNA from 1 species